AACCUAACAGCUAGCUUAAAUUUA
rnacentral:rRNA from 1 species